CCUACGGGUGGCAGCAGUCGAGAAUCAUUCACAAUGGGGGAAACCCUGAUGGUGCGACGCCGCGUGGGGGAAUGAAGGUCUUCGGAUUGUAAACCCCUGUCAUGUGGGAGCAAAUUAAAAAGAUAGUACCACAAGAGGAAGAGACGGCUAACUCUGUGCCAGCAGCCGCGGUAAUACAGAGGUCUCAAGCGUUGUUCGGAAUCACUGGGCGUAAAGCGUGCGUAGGCUGUUUCGUAAGUCGUGUGUGAAAGGCGCGGGCUCAACCAGAGAAUGGCAGUUGAUACUGCGAGACUAGAGUAGUGUUGAGGCAGGCGGAAUGCGGGGGGGAGCGGUGAAAUGCUUAGAUAGCGCGCAGAAC
rnacentral:rRNA from 1 species